UACGUAGGGUCCGAGCGUUGUCCGGAAUUACUGGGCGUAAAGAGCUCGUAGGUGGCUUGUCGCGUUGUUCGUGAAAACUCACAGCUCAACUGUGGGCGUGCGGGCGAUACGGGCAGACUUGAGUACUGCAGGGGAGACUGGAAUUCCUGGUGUAGCGGUGGAAUGCGCAGAUAUCAGGAGGAACACCGGUGGCGAAGGCGGGUCUCUGGGCAGUAACUGACGCUGAGGAGCGAAAGCGUGGGGAGCGAACAGG
rnacentral:rRNA from 1 species